rnacentral:lncRNA from 1 species
GAUUUAAAGUGGACUCAUUCCAAUUACAGGGCCUCGAAAGAGUCCUGUAUUGUUAUUUUUCGUCACUACCUCCCCGGGUCGGGAGUGGGUAAUUUGCGCGCCUGCUGCCUUCCUUGGAUGUGGUAGCCGUUUCUCAGGCUCCCUCUCCGGAAUCGAACCCUGAUUCCCCGUCACCCGUGGUCACCAUGGUAGGCACGGCGACUACCAUCGAAAGUUGAUAGGGCAGACGUUCGAAUGGGUCGUCGCCGCCACGGGGGGCGUGCGAUCAGCCCGAGGUUAUCUAGAGUCACCAAAGCCGCCGGCGCCCGCCCCCCGGCCGGGGCCGGAGAGGGGCUGACCGGGUUGGUUUUGAUCUGAUAAAUGCACGCAUCCCCCCCGCGAAGGGGGUCAGCGCCCGUCGGCAUGUAUUAGCUCUAGAAUUACCACAGUUAUCCAAGUAGGAGAGGAGCGAGCGACCAAAGGAACCAUAACUGAUUUAAUGAGCCAUUCGCAGUUUCACUGUACCGGCCGUGCGUACUUAGACAUGCAUGGCUUAAUCUUUGAGACAAGCAUAUGCUACUGGCAGGAUCAACCAGGUAGGUAGGUAGA